GACGAAGGGGGCUAGCGUUGUUCGGAAUUACUGGGCGUAAAGGGCGCGUAGGCGGUCUGGUAAGUUGGGAGUGAAAGCCCGGGGCUUAACCUCGGAAUUGCUUUCAAAACUGCCGGACUAGAGUGUAGUAGGGGAUGAUGGAAUUCCUAGUGUAGAGGUGAAAUUCUUAGAUAUUAGGAGGAACACCGGUGGCGAAGGCGGUCAUCUGGGCUACAACUGACGCUGAGGCGCGAAAGCGUGGGGAGCGAACAGG
rnacentral:rRNA from 1 species